GCACCGGUGGUGCAUGGUGCACACUGCCAUUGAAUAACCGUCGGAUGUUUGUUUUCAGGCAGACCGGGGUUCGAUUCCCUACCGGUGCA